AAGCAGUGUUUCCCGCUUUUUCCCUCCUCCCUUGCCCAGGGGUUUCCGGUCCUGGCGCCGCCAUCUUGGGCCUGCCUGGUGGGAUCCAGCAUCUGGCGGACGCUACCAGGACGGGCCUCUGACCUUCCCCACAGCCGGCCGUGGCCUCCUCCUUGCUGGCCUCCGCGAGAGCCUUACUGCCCACUCUAAAAGUCCUGUCCUGCAGAGGCAUCACAGGGAUCUCCGUAGCACCCGCGCCAGGCCUCCAGCGGCCCGGGCAGGCCGCUGCACGUGGGCCAUCCCCGUGAACGCCGAGGGCCAGCCCGCAUCCGCCCGGGGCGUGGCCCGCGAAGCACUUCCGGCCCUUCUAGGCCCUUGGGCGGCCUCUGUGGACCCUACCUGGGAGCAAAGGGAGGCUGGGGCCGUGACGCUCCUGCCCUUAUCACUGCUUCGACCCCGCGCAACCUUGCUCAGGCGUGGGGUCCCAGGCGCUCACCCCAAGUCCCCUUCCGCAAGGGGUGGUCGGAAGCCGUCGUGUCUCGGUGUGCGGCCUCUGCCUCUGUUAGCUCCCUGAGGCCCUCUGGCCUCCUGAAGCGGCCCGGGGAGCCCUUCUCGCGACUCCUUCUAAAGAGCAGUACGAAACCCCUAGAAGGACGAAAGAGCCAGUCGAGCGACACAGCAGUUCCCGAACGAGUGAAAUAACAAGUGACACGGCGUGAACGCACUGUCCCCUCAACGACAAGACCCAUCUCAGGACGCGUCACGUCGAAACAGCCUCAGGACUGUCUAGCGGAGGUGCCGUAACUUGGGUAUCCGGAUCUGGCUGUGCAUGUGAACCAUCUGGACAACAGGAUUUCCAGACCACAUGUUGUGGAUCUCCCUUCCUCACCUGAUAGCUUCUGCUUGAUGCUUUGAUUUCCAGGGUGCCGCAAGGACUGUAAUGGGUUAUCCUGGGUACAACAAGUAUUACUAGUAUUAAUAAAGCACAUAGCCUUCUGUCAAUAAACUUAUUAGAUUUCUGGAUUAUAAACAUCUUUUGGGUUGCUUGGAACAUAUGGAUUUUUCCUGUUUUUAUAGCUCCUUGGCUAUAUUAUUAAAACUGAGUUGACAUAUUUAAAAAUUGAAUUCUGAACCUAAGACCUGUGGCAUCAUCUCCAUGACCAAGGCUGUCCCUAAGCUUGGUCCUGAGCACCAGUUAGCCUAACUCCUUUGAAAUAACA